rnacentral:rRNA from 1 species
AGAGUUUGAUCCUGGCUCAGGACGAACGCUGGCGGCGUGCCUAACACAUGCAAGUCGAGCGAUGAAACCCUUCGGGGUGGAUUAGCGGCGGACGGGUGAGUAACACGUGGGUAACCUGCCUCAAAGAGGGGAAUAGCCUCCCGAAAGGGAGAUUAAUACCGCAUAAUAUGUUUUGGUCGCAUGACCGAGACAUCAAAGGAGUAAUCCGCUUUGAGAUGGACCCGCGGCGCAUUAGCUAGUUGGUGAGGUAACGGCUCACCAAGGCGACGAUGCGUAGCCGACCUGAGAGGGUGAUCGGCCACAUUGGAACUGAGACACGGUCCAGACUCCUACGGGAGGCAGCAGUGGGGAAUAUUGCGCAAUGGGGGAAACCCUGACGCAGCAACGCCGCGUGAAUGAUGAAGGCCUUCGGGUUGUAAAGUUCUGUCUUCUGGGACGAUAAUGACGGUACCAGAGGAGAG